CAGUCGCCGCGGGAAUACGAACCGUGCGAACGUUAUUCGGAAUCACUGGGCUUAAAGCGCGUGUAGGCGGAUGGGAGCGUCGGCCUCUGAAAUCCCUCGGCUCAACCGGGGAAGUGGAGCCGAAACGACCCGUCUGGAGGGACGUAGGGGGACCUGGAACUUCCGGUGGAGCGGUGAAAUGCGUUGAGAUCGGAAGGAACGCCCGUGGCGAAAGCGAGGUCCUGGACGUCUGCUGACGCUGAGACGCGAAAGCCAGGGGAGCGAACGGGAUUAGAUACCCGCGUAGUCCCUGUCUCUUAUU
rnacentral:rRNA from 1 species